rnacentral:rRNA from 1 species
UACGUAGGGUGCGAGCGUUGUCCGGAAUUACUGGGCGUAAAGAGCUCGUAGGUGGUUUGUCGCGUUGUCCGUGAAAACUCACAACUCAAUUGUGGGCGUGCGGGCGAUACGGGCAGACUGGAGUACUGCAGGGGGAGACUGGAAUUCCUGGUGUAGCGGUGGAAUGCGCAGAUAUCAGGAGGAACACCGGUGGCGAAGGCGGGUCUCUGGGCCGAUACUGACGUGAGGAGCGAAAAGCGUGGGGGAGCGAACAGG